rnacentral:rRNA from 1 species
UACGUAGGUGACCAGCGUUGUCCGGAUUUACUGGGCGUAAAGAGCGCGCAGGCGGUCGUUCAAGUCGAGUGUGAAAGCCCCCGGCUCAACUGGGGAGGGUCACGCGAUACUGAUCGACUGGAAGGCAGGAGAGGGUAGUGGAAUUCCCGGUGUAGCGGUGAAAUGCGUAGAGAUCAGGAAGAACAUCGGUGGCGAAGGCGCUCUGCUGGACCAUAACUGACACUCAGGGACGAAAGCUAGGGGAGCGAAUGGG